rnacentral:misc_RNA from 1 species
GAUGAAGAACGCAGCGAAAUGCGAUAAGUAAUGCGAAUUGCAGAAUCCGUGAGUCAUCGAAUCUUUGAACGCACCUUGCGCCCUUUGGCCAUUCCGAAGGGCAUGCCUGUUUGAGUAUCAUGAACACCUCAACUCUUCAUGGUUUUCCAUGAUGAGCUUGGACUUUGGGGGUCUUGCUGGCCUGUGGGUCGGCUCCUCUCAAAUGAAUCAGCUUGCCGGUUUUUGGUGGGCAUCACAGGUGUGAUAACUAUCUACGCUUGUGGUUUUCCACCAGGGUAACCUUCAGCAGUGGAGGUUCACUGGAGCUUACAAAUGUCUCUCCUCUGUGAGGACAGCCCUUUGAAUGUUUGAUCUCAAAUCAGGUAGGACUACCCGCUGAACUUAAGCAUAUCAAUAAGCGGAGGA